AUCUGGACAAACUGGAGAAAUGGUCUGAAGUAAAUAGGAUGAAAUUCUAUAAGGACAAAUGCAAAGUACUCCACUUAGGAACGAACAAUCAAUUGCACACGUACAAAAUGGGAAAUGACUGCCUAGCAAGGAGUACUGCGAAAAGGGAUCUGAAGGUCAUAGUGGACCACAGGCUACAUAUGAGUCAACAGUGUAACACUGUUGCAAAAAAGUGAAUAUCAUUCUGGGAUGUGUUAGCAGGAGUGUUGUAAGCAAAACACGAGAAGUAAUUCUUCUGCUCUACUCCACCCUGAUUAGGCCUCAGCUGGAGUAUUGUGUCCAGUUCUGGGUGCCACAUUUCAGGAAAGAUGUGGACAAAUUGGAGAAACUCCAGAGAGGAGCAACAAGAAUGAUUAAAGUUCUUGAAAACAUGACCUGUGAGGGAAGAUUGAAAAACUUGGGUUUGUUUAGUCUGGAAAAGAGAAGUCUGAGAGGGGACAUGAUCGGUGUUCCCUCUAAUUUUUUUGCAUCCAUGUGCGGAAUGAAUUUUGUUAUGUGCACCAAUAUGGAGGUGAUGUUUGACGGGGGUGGGGCCGAGGGGUUCUGAGUGUGGGAGCAGGCUCAGGGCUGGGGCAGAGGAUUGGGGUGUCGGGGGGUGAGGGUUCUGGUUGGGGGUGCUUGCUUAGGUGGGGCUGGGGAUGAGGGGAUUGGGGUGCGGGAGGGGGCUCAGGGCUAGGGAAGAGGAUUUGGGUGUGGGCGGAUGAGGGCUUUUGCUGGAGGUGUGGGCUCAGGUGGGGCUGGGGAUGAGGGGUUUGGGGUGUGUGAGGGGGCUCAGGGCUGGGGCAGUGGGUUGGGUGCGGGGGGUGAGGGCUCCAGCUUGGGAUGCGGACUCUGGGGUGGGACCAGGGAUGAGGGGUUUUGGGUGCAGGCUGCCCCAGGGAAUGUAUUAGCAUGAGUGUUGUAAGCAACACAUGAGAAGUGUCCCUUCCAUGGCGGCUCCGGCUGGGCUGGACUGGGUCCAGCCAGGCCAGGGGAGAGGCUCCUCUCCCGAGCUGCGGAAGUUCUGGCGGGGCUGGGCCAGGGGAGGGGCUCCUCUCCCUGGCAGCUCCGGCAGGGCUGGGCUGGGCCGGGGAAAGAGUGCCUCUGCCCACCUACGCAGCCCUUGAUAGCCUGCUGCAUGGCCGCGCAGCUUAGAGGGAACUUAGGACACGAUAACAGUUUUCAAGUACAUAAAAGGUUGUUACAAGGAGAAUAGAGAAAAAAAAUAUUCUUAACCACUGAGGACAGGACAAGAAGCAAUGGGCUUAAAUUGCAGCAAUGGAGAUUUAGGUUGGACAUUAGGAAAAACUACCUAACUGUCAGGGUGGUUAAGUACUGGAAUAAAUUGUCUAGGUAGGUUGUGGAAUCUCCAUCAUUGGAGAUUUUUAAGAGCAGGUUAGACAAACACCUGUCAGGGAUGGUCUAGAUAAUACUUAGUCCUGACAUGAGUGCAGGGGACUGGACUAGAUGACCUCUCAAGAUCCCUUCCAGUCCUAUGAUUCUGUGAUUCUUCUCACUAAGGCCCUGCCUUGACUAGAGAUUGUUGUCAUGUUGUAACUCAGUUGUGCCCUCUAGUACAUAAAAAACUCCAGAAGGACUAGAGGAUGUGCUUCAAAUCUUGCUGUGUAGCCUAUGGCCCCAACUAGACUUCAGCUCAGCUGUCACUGUAGGCAUAGACUAUACUAAACAAGCAAGAUCAGUCCUCUGCUGGCUGUUCCAUGCUGCCCUCUCUGGCUAGGUAAUUAAACUCUACUGCCGCGGGGUCAACCCGGUCAGAAGUCACCUAACAAUUUAAAAUUCCCAAUGCAAAUGCAUGCUCCUGUUUGUGACCAACUUCUAAUGGUGAACAUCUUUCUUUAGUGAACCCAUUCAUGCUUCCUGAUAUUUAUACCUAGAGACCCCAGCUGAGGCGCUGCCAGCACGCUUCCUCCUGCCCAGCCCAAGAUGUCAGUGCUCUGGUUAGCUUGAGACCGAGGCAUAUGCAAUUUGGGAGCCCCAUGACUCACGACAGGAAUUAUCAGGUCUAUAAUAGGAUUUUGGGGCAACUCACACAGCUGGUAAUUCAAUGGAUAGGGGACCAGUGCCUUGAAAAAUUAUGGCUAUGAAGGUGGCCUCCCAGAAGGUCAAGGACAGUAGCAAAAGGUCUAGGUGGGCACAUAGACACAUUCCUUUUCUGAGAAAUUGGAGAGAAUUAUGACAAACCCAGACUGUGUGGUGGAUACAGGCAGAGGCACCUGGCAGGGCUCUGAGAAGGGAGGAGAUGGCUUAUCUGCAGACCCAGCCCUCUGAUUCCAGGGAGAUUCAAACCCAGCCCUCUGAGCUCCAAGAGACCUACGAUUUGUAGAUUCCAAGGUCAGAAGGGGCCAUUUUGAACAUCUAGUCUGACGUCCUGGCAUCUGAAUAACUCCUUCCUGAGUCUCAUGACCUGUCUGGAGAAACAAAGGCCAACCCACAUGAGAUUACAGAGAUCAAGGAGGCGACACUGGAGGAGAUGCCAUUGCAGCCGGCCCUUCCACUUUCACCGCUGCUGGGCUGGAAGACCCAUGACAGCAAUGGAGAGGCCACACAACUCUGACGCAAGGAAGGGAGGACGUGCAUCAGGACCUACAGAUUGACACUAGCCAGAGAUCUGACCACUCGUUCAGAUAUCAGUCUACACAGGAAGAGGAAGACCAACACUAUGACUGUCAGACUAGUGCUGAGUUAUCUGCAACAUGACAAAGAGAUGGAAAAGGAAGGCAGGGAAUUCCAGAGAUAAAUGUUUGAGAGAUUUUUUGAGGUGACUGGAGAGAGGUUCUCAAGCAAGUCUGCUGUCCCAGUCUAUGUCCUGUGCAAGCUGUGCCUGCUCCGUCAUGUCUACACUACCACAUACUCCAGAAUUUGGAGAACUCUACUGCUUGGGGAGAGAAAGAAGCAACUGUUACCCUAUAUACUACACUUCUGUGCAGAGGAAAGGGGGAAAAAACACCAUGAACUGAGAUGGAUUUCCAUUACCUUUAAAGAAUCUGAUGUUCCUUCUGGGUGAAAAAGAAUGCAUUUAUAAUUGAGGGGAUAUGCAGUGUUUAUACUAAGUUGUUCUAUAAGCUAAUGCAUUUGGAGUACACUGGUAGUACUGCACUGUUUGAUUAUGUGAGUUUAAAAGAGUUUAAGUGGAUGACUUCUGAAAAGUUCUGUACAGUUCCGUGGAUUCAUAACCUGCUCUGUGUUGUGCUGUUUUGCUCUAAAGUUUUUGUAAUAAAGUUUAUGUUCAAACCAGAACUCAGUGUGAUACUUACCCUUGUAAUACAUUGAUAGUAAGGCAAAUAAUUCAAUUAAAAAUCCCCUGUUGAUUCCUCAUGUAAGUUAAGCAUGGCAGCAUAGAGGACAUCUCUUACAUGGUGGGCAGAAGUGUUCUCAGCUUGAAUUUGUAGAGAUCUAGCUUCUGACUUCUGAAAGACAGAGAUUAGUGGUUCCACUUCAGCAAUCAAGUCUGAAAAUUUUAUUUUUGUUUAUAUUAUUAUUAUUACAAAAAUUUAAAAGCCAGAAGGGACCAUUAUGAUCAUCUAGCCUGAUCUCCUGCAUGACACAGGCUAGGGAAUUUCACCCAUAGGUUCCUGCAUCCAGUCCAGUAACUUGUAGUUGAGAUAGAUCAGAUUUUUUAGAAAGGUAUCCUGAGUUAGACUCCAAGUAACAGAGAAUCCACUACAAUUCUAGGCAAGUUGUUUCAAUGGUUAGUUACUCUCCCUGUUAAAAUGUGUGCCUUAUUUCUAGGCUGGGUUUAUCUAGCUUCAUCUUCCAAUCAUAGCAAUCACAUUCUCCACAGAACAGACACUCUGAGUAAGCAGUCAUCUCCAAUGGCCUUUCGGCCUUCCAAAGGCACUCUCCAGUACCAUCCUACGUCUGCUGAGGGUAAAGCUAAACCUUCUUCUCCCAGGCAGCCUUACAUCUGAGUUGGGCCCUCAAAAGCCAGUGAUCAUGCUGGGUCCCCCAGAAUGGCCAUAUGCCCAUAAGCUCCAUUAAUGUCCAUAUUACUUUGUGCGAACAGGGUCCUGGAUUGUUCAAACUGGAAGUGUGGACCUCCUGAGCACCCUCACAUCGUGCUCUUUGCCAGUGCAUUCUGCGCAUAAGUACAUCAGUCUCCCACAGUAGUCAACCAAAGCCUGCGUCACGGAGUAGUAGCCCGCAAAGCUGAUAUACUCCCCUGUGCCCCGGGGGAGAGCAUAAUAUGGGGAUGUGAGUGAGUUCCGGGACCCCUGAUAAUGGGGGAUUUUGCUCACCUUCAGAACUCCAGGCUGAAAUGCAGCACAGAUGGCCUCACAAACCUCCACCAUCAGGGAGCCCAUGGGUGAAUCUUCUGAGCCUGAGUGGGUUCCCAACAACCUGUAAAAUCAGUGAUAGCUUCCAAAGUGCAAUUGCCACACACUUAUCAAUAGGUAUUGGUGUUCUGGUGCUCCUGACAGAUUUCAUGAAGCAUGGUUUUCCUCAUCCACCGCUGAUUAUCCCACAUCUGAGGAAAAUCGUAGUCCCACCCCACUGUACCUAUGGGUCUUCACCAAUGAGUGCUUCAUCUGUGAAGAACUCAUCCAUCCAUUCUCAGAACUGUACCAUGUGCAUCAUGUCCUCCUACUGAGUGCCCCACAGGCAGAGUCUCUCCUGGUAAUGGCAGUACCAUUGCCAAUGUUUCCUCUUAGCUCCUUCUAUAGCUCCUAAUAUCCAAUAUCAAUGCUCUAAAAAGCCACUCUUUGGGAUGUGAGAAAUCCAUGCUAGAACAGAGGAUCAAGAAGUAUUUCACAAAAGAAGCUGAUAAGUGUAGAAACAUUUAACAGUUUAUAUACUUUCUGCAUGGAGAAGGAACUUCUGGAACAUGGAGUAAAUCUGAGGGGCUGAUCUGUACUUCCAUAAUUCCCUGUGCACAUGAGUUCUCCCAGAAUGCUGUUUGCAGUGACCCCAAAAACAUUGCUGCUAACGUGACUGAGUGCAUCCGUAAUAUGGAUGCAAGGGGUUUCAGCAUGUCCACUGAACACAAGUGGGGACUGAUCCUCAUCUCCACGGAGGCCCAGUCCACACAUAAAAGCUGCACUGAUUAAGAAUGUCUCCUUAUUUCAAUGAGAGCUGGUGUAUGUCCACACACACUUGUCUGUUUCACAUCAAUAGAUCUGUGUAGUUAAAUCAAUAUAUUUACUCAAUUUUUUAAGUGGCAAACUCUAUUUUGGUUGGUAUUAAAUUGAAAUAGUGGAUAUAUAUAUAACAAAACCAGUGUGAGGCGUCUUCCCACUGCUAUCCAACUCUGCACCGGUCAUUGCAGAAUUCACCUGUCUGUUUAUUUUCUGCACUCCACUGCUGGUGGAUCAGGAUGCUCAGAAGUCAUGUCUCACUCUAAUAUUGUUUUUGCAUUGGACCAUCAUUAAACCAACAUGUAUCCAUCUGACACUAUGAAUCAUUUUAAAUAAAAAUAUUUUCUAUGACAGCUA